UCUAGUUCAAUCAAUCUUUCUUGCUCUAGUUCUGAGUCAGAGUCACCUCCUUCCUGAAAAUUGAGUCAAUAUGAAGAUUGUAUUCAAACGAAAGUUCACGUUUUGCGAGAUGACCAGUAUAACAGAAAACCAAGAGCGACAACAGAGUGAUCACGAAUCAGCUCCUGCAAGUUCGAAUAACUGGAUAAUUCAUGUGUACCAAAUUUGGUUGCGGCCUUACUCAGGAAAUAUAUGGAUCCACCAAUCCAUCGAGUACAGGAAUAAUGUGUGACGUAUGAUAUCCUAUAUUAACGAUGAGACCAUUCGGUGGGCAGUUAUUAUGAUGAUAAGAAAAAAGGCAAUCUACUCCGUACGAUAUGGCUGGCCAAAAGUUAUGAGAAAUAUACUAUAAAUAUAGAAGAUAUUGCACAGAUCCUUACAAUUUCUUGAGUAAUUUGGAUUGAGGAAAGCUUCAGUAAGGACAAUUGGAUGAUUUACAGCUCCAUCAGUAUCAAUUCCCAUCUCUCCAUCUUUUUUGCCACGUUCUUUACGAGGUUUGGCUAUCAAAUUUUUGAAUAUCAACUGUGGCUCUUUUUCCAUUGCCCAACCAACUCUGCAGUUGUAUGAUCCUGUAGAAGAGGAAAUAUCAUGUGUCUACAAUUGAAUUAAGGGUUGAAAAGCUGAACAUUGUCAAGGAAUUCUGAAGUAUUUCCAUUUCAAAGGUGAAAUAGGAUUGUGAAAGCUAUAGAAAACUAAUGACUAGCUGAAAUCGGCAACUACGUUUACAACGCAGAAUAUCUUUGGUAAAAUAAUGCGGUUCUUAACCCCUUGAAAUUACACUGGU